GUGAGGAAUAUUGCGCAAUGGAGGCAACUCUGACGCAGCCAUGCCGCGUGCAGGAAGACGGCCCUCUGGGUUGUAAACUGCUUUUAUCUGGGAAGAAAAAGGCCAUGCGUGGCAAAUUGCCGGUACCAGAUGAAUAAGCACCGGCUAACUCCGUGCCAGCAGCCGCGGUAAUACGGAGGGUGCGAGCGUUGUCCGGAUUUAUUGGGUUUAAAGGGUGCGUAGGCGGCUGAUUAAGUCAGCGGUGAAAGACUUCGGCUUAACCGGAGCAGUGCCGUUGAUACUGGUUGGCUUGAGUGUCGGAGGAGUACAUGGAAUUGAUGGUGUAUCGGUGAAAUGCAUAGAUACCAUCAGGAACACCGAUAGCGAAGGCAUUGUACUGGCCGACAACUGACGCUGAUGCACGAAAGUGUGGGGAUCGAACAGGAUUAGAUACCCGGGUAGUCC
rnacentral:rRNA from 1 species